AGGUAUUAUAGAACAGAUGUUGCUGCAGUUUUCACCGCUGAAGUGAAGAAUCGAAUUCAGAUUUAGACUGCUAACUUGUGCUUCUGAUCAGGAUAACCAUCAGUGAAACAAUGUUUCGAAAAUCUAGGCUUUUAAGUGGACUAAAGAUAACAGCAGGCCAUUCUUCAUCUGAAAAUCAAGCACAACAUUCUAAUGCAUCACACACUCGAGUACAACCUCGACAGGCUGUUGAGAGUCACAAUUGGAAUACUACCAUAUCAUCUCAACCUUAACUGCAACUUCAGAAAGUUGUUCAAAGUUCCAAUAUGACUACGAGAUCAUGUAAGCAAUGUGUUGUAUACCAGCUGGCCUCUGUGACUCAAAUGAACUAUGCAAGUUUCUAGUAUUUUUCUUGAGCUACUUGUAAUACUUUAACUAUAAUUCACCAUAUGCAGUGAAGAGAUAGGAAAAAGAAAAUUCAAUACUAUGAUUGGUCUUGUUGACCGGGAUUGUGUUUAUGCAGAACUUUAUGAUGAUUAUGUGACAGCUAAGGCUCGUGAGAUUCAUUUAGUGUUUCAGUUUCUGCAACAACUCCAAGGGAAUUAGUUUCAUCGAAGACUUUCUAUGUCGUUAAAGAAAUGAGCAGUGAAAUCAAUUUGAAGACUCAUAGAAGGCUAGAGAUCAAAAGCUAAUAGAGUUAAAGCAUAAAUAAAUUAGCUUAAAUAUAUAAUUAUUAAUUUGUGGGUGUUUUUAGUUUUAG